rnacentral:lncRNA from 1 species
AUGGAGAGCUUGGUUUCAUCUUCUUGGUUCCGCUCUACUCCACCACCAUCUCCAUCUUACAACGGUAUAUUUUCUGGUCUUAAGAAGUUCUUUUGCUCUGGAUGUAGUAGUAUGAAGAAGUUGUUCCCUCUUGUCCUGCUGCCAAACCUUGUAAAAUUAGAAGAGAUUAUAGUUGAAGACUGUGAGAAGAUGAAGGAGAUAAUAGGUGGAACAAGACCAGAUGAAGAGGGGGUUAUGGGUGAAGAAACCAGCAGCAGCAAUAUCGAAUUCAAACUCCCAAAGUUAAGAAAUAUGGAAUUGAGAGGAUUACCCGAACUGAAAAGCAUUUGUAGUGCAAAACUGAUUUGCGAUUCUAUCGAAGGAAUUGAAGUAAGAAAUUGCGAGAAGCUGAAGAGGAUGCCAAUUUGUCUCCCGUUGCUUGAAAAUGGCGAGCCAUCUCCUCCCCCUUCUCUUAGAA